UGCAGUUCUUAUUCCGAGUGUUCUGCCGCCUGCGCCCUGGAAUCCCAGUGCUGGCUCUGCACGGCAAACAGCAGCAGAUGAAGAGGAUGGAGGUUUACAACGACUUCAUCCGCAAGAAGGCAGCCGUGCUGUUUGCAACUGACAUAGCAGCCAGGGGCCUUGAUUUUCCCGUGGUGAACUGGGUUUUGCAGUUUGAUUGUCCAGAAGACGCUAAUACCUACAUCCACAGAGUGGGGAGAACAGCCAGGUAU